rnacentral:rRNA from 1 species
CAGUAGCCGCGGUAAUACGGAGGGUGCAAGCGUUAAUCGGAAUUGCUGGGCGUAAAGCGCACGCAGGCGGUCUGUCAAGUCAGAUGUGAAAUCCCCGGGCUUAACCUGGGAACUGCAUUUGAAACUGGCAGACUGGAGUCUUGUAGAGGGGGGUAGAAUUCCAGGUGUAGCGGUGAAAUGCGUAGAGAUCUGGAGGAAUACCGGUGGCGAAGGCGGCCCCCUGGACAAAGACUGACGCUCAGGUGCGAAAGCGUGGGGAGCAAACAGGAUUAGAUACCCCGGUAGUCCCUGUCUCUUAUAC